AUGAUUUGGGCUGUAGAAGCUGGUGGACAGAAGAAGAAAGGGUGAGGUGUUCUAAAAGGUUUUAAAGCAUCUAAGAAGCGUUUUGCCAAUGGAUCUGCAAAGCCAAAUAUUACAUUCUCUGAAAAAUUGGGUGGUACAAUAGAAAUGAACUAUCGUUCGUUCAAGAAUGACGUGGUAGUCAUAAUGAAAAGAAAGUUACCACUCAUUGGAAUGAGGAUGUGGUCGGACAUUCACCCUACCAUUCAUCGACUCAUUCUUGCAGAUAUGAUAGACAGAUGGGACCUGGAAGAUACACCAGAAACACAAGAAAAAGUUUUCAAAAUUGCGAAAGAGAGAUAUAGAGGCUGGCGAUCAACUCUAAGCUCCACUUACAAGGCAUACAAAACAGAUGUAGCUAGAUUGGCUAAUCUGCCAGAAGAUUUACAACCAGAAGAGUGGGAAUGGAUGAUUGAGUACUUUGGCACUGAUUCAAAAUUUCAGGAACGCAGCCAAAAGAAUGCUGAUAACCGUAAGAAACAGAAGACAAAAUACAUAAUCGGAUCAAAAUCUUACUCACAAGUUAGUUUUGAGAAGAGAAACUUGGAAACUGGAGAAGAGCCAGAUUGUAUUGCUCUAUGGGAACUCACCCACACAAACGAUGAAACAUGGUCUAACACAGAUUCCUAAAAAGUUUACGACCAAGCACUUCAAGAUGUUAAAAACAAAGAAGCUGAAACUGAAGGUCCACUUUCAAAUGAGCAAAAAAACAAUGUUUUUCAAACCGCUUACAAAAACACUCUGGAAUGCAAGUCAUGGCAGCCUCGUGGGUACGGAUACAUGGCCAAAACUUCAACUGGUUCUGAAAAGUUCCGUAUCCAGAUUGAAGAGCAAGCUCGUGCUACAGCAGCCACCCAGGAGCGAAACUCUCAGCUCAGCCAGCAGGUCAAUGACUUAGAAGAUCAACUACAAGAUGAACGUGCUAACACACAAGAGAGGAUUAACUUGGAGCGUGCUGAGAGAGAACAACUUGAGGACCGGUAA
rnacentral:rRNA from 1 species